rnacentral:pre_miRNA from 1 species
GAUAGGAUUGCUGGGUCAUAUAGUUAGUUUACUUUAUAAGAAACUACCAAACUCCUUUCCAAAAGAGCUAUACCGUUUUGCAUUACCUCCAGCAGU